AUGGUGUGGCCACCUGAGAGGGCGACGACAUCGACGACAUUGAGACCGAGGCGAUUGAACUUGGUGAUGAUAGUGGGUAGGGUGUUGUUGGGGGCAGGGAUGUCAUUGUUUGAUCCCUGGAUGCUCGCGCCCAGAGAGUCUCUGCGGCCGAGUGGCACGUCCCAGACAGUAGAGUCACGGGCGGCAAGGGCGAGGAUAUCGGCGCAGGAGACAGUACCGGGGCAGGCUGUCUCAAGGGCGACCUUGAUCUGGUCGACAACCUCGAACCCCCGGAGGGAGUUCAGAUUGGGGUUGGACCCCUUCUCGCUGACUAUGCUGCUGCUGUUGUCCAGUAGCACGGAUGCGUCGCACCCCUAUGCACAGAAGGAAAAAAAAUGUCAGAAAAAGUUACUGGUACUACACAGAUUGGGCACAUGCAACGAAAUAGCAGUUUCAUUGGACAGGUACAUGCAUUUUGUGAAGGAUGAGCAUUGCAUGGAGAGUGCCAAUUAUUGUGCACUUGAAUUAAGCAAUCGCCAUCUUUUCGGGGAAAAAGCAAUCAUGGUACGGACUCGCAAGACAAUAAGUAGUGGUCGUAUGGGCAUUGUAGGCAGGCUAUCUUAUCAUAGGUAA
rnacentral:rRNA from 1 species